UACGAAGGGGGCUAGCGUUGCUCGGAAUCACUGGGCGUAAAGGGUGCGUAGGCGGGUCUUUAAGUCAGGGGUGAAAUCCUGGAGCUCAACUCCAGAACUGCCUUUGAUACUGAGGAUCUUGAGUUCGGGAGAGGUGAGUGGAACUGCGAGUGUAGAGGUGAAAUUCGUAGAUAUUCGCAAGAACACCAGUGGCGAAGGCGGCUCACUGGUCCGGUACUGACGCUGAGGUGCGAAAGCGUGGGGAGCAACAGG
rnacentral:rRNA from 1 species